UUUAUUUGAGAGUUUGAUCCUGGCUCAGGAUGAACGCUGGCGGCGUGCCUAACACAUGCAAGUUGAGCGAUUUACUUCGGUAAAGAGCGGCGGACGGGUGAGUAACGCGUGGGUAACCUACCCUGUACACACGGAUAACAUACCGAAAGGUAUGCUAAUACGGGAUAAUAUAUUUGAGAGGCAUCUCUUGAAUAUCAAAGGUGAGCCAGUACAGGAUGGACCCGCGUCUGAUUAGCUAGUUGGUAAGGUAACGGCUUACCAAGGCGACGAUCAGUAGCCGACCUGAGAGGGUGAUCGGCCACAUUGGA
rnacentral:rRNA from 1 species